UACGUAGGGAGCAAGCGUUGUCCGGAAUCAUUGGGCGUAAAGCGCGCGUAGGCGGCCCCGUAAGUCCGCUGUGAAAGUCAAAGGCUCAACCUUUGAAAGCCGGUGGAUACUGUGGGGCUAGAGUCCGGAAGAGGCGAGUGGAAUUCCUGGUGUAGCGGUGGAAUGCGCGGAUAUCAGGAGGAACACCAAUAGCGAAGGCAGCUCGCUGGGACGGUACUGACGCUAAGGCGCGAAAGCGUGGGGAGCGAACAGG
rnacentral:rRNA from 1 species